GACGAACGCUGGCGGCGUGCUUAACACAUGCAAGUCGAACGGAAAGGCCCUGCUUUUGUGGGGUGCUCGAGUGGCGAACGGGUGAGUAACACGUGAGUAACCUGCCCUUGACUUUGGGAUAACUUCAGGAAACUGGGGCUAAUACCGGAUAGGAGCUCCUGCUGCAUGGUGGGGGUUGGAAAGUUUCGGCGGUUGGGGAUGGACUCGCGGCUUAUCAGCUUGUUGGUGGGGUAGUGGCUUACCAAGGCUUUGACGGGUAGCCGGCCCGAGAGGGUGACCGGCCACAUUGGGACUGAGAUACGGCCCAGACUCCUACGGGAGGCAGCAGUGGGGAAUAUUGCACAAUGGGCGGGAGCCUGAUGCAGCAACGCCGCGUGCGGGAUGACGGCCUUCGGGUUGUAAACCGCUUUCGCCUGUGACGAAGCGUGAGUGACGGUAAUGGGUAAAGAAGCACCGGCUAACUACGUG
rnacentral:rRNA from 1 species